rnacentral:lncRNA from 1 species
ACAGCUGGCGCGGCUGUGUACUACAAUUCAGGAAAUGGUAGGUUUCCUUCAAAAGUAAUCUGAACACUGGAUCUUUUAUCUUGCUUAGUCACAAAACCAGAGAUUUUUAUCUUACAAGCAUGAAAUGUAGAAUGUUUACCUCUUGAGAAGACGGGAAAUUAUUCUUCGGCUUUUCUUGAACAGUUAUUCCAAGGCCGUCCUUUCCUAGUACAGCAAGCUGGAUUCUAUUUUAAUUGCAAGGAAGACAUACUAUCUCAGCAGCAAGGAGACCUCACAGUUCUCUCACCUACUGUGCUGGAUUCUACCAAUUUUGAGUAACUUCUU